UCGGCAGUGUAGUUAGCUGGUUG
rnacentral:miRNA from 1 species